rnacentral:rRNA from 1 species
UACGUAGGGUGCAAGCGUUGUCCGGAAUUAUUGGGCGUAAAGAGCUCGUAGGCGGUCUGUCGCGUCUGCCGUGAAAGUCCGGGGCUCAACUCCGGAUCUGCGGUGGGUACGGGCAGACUAGAGUGAUGUAGGGGAGACUGGAAUUCCUGGUGUAGCGGUGAAAUGCGCAGAUAUCAGGAGGAACACCGGUGGCGAAGGCGGUCUGCUGGGCCAAGACUGACGCUGAGGCGCGACAGCGUGGGGAGCAAACAGG